AUGAACGCUGGCGGUAUGCUUAACACAUGCAAGUCGAACGGUACUCUUCGGAGAUUAGUGGCGGACGGGUGAGUAACGCGUGAGAAUCUGGCUUCUAGGUCGGGGACAACCACUGGAAACGGUGGCUAAUACCGGAUGUGCCGAGAGGUGAAAGAGUUAAUUGCCUGGAGAUGAGCUCGCGUCUGAUUAGCUAGUAGGUGGUGGUAAGAGCGCUACCUAAGGCGACGAUCAGUAGCUGGUCUGAGAGGAUGAUCAGCCACACUGGGAACUGAGACACGGCCCAGACUCCUACGGGAGGCAGCAGUGGGGAAUUUUCCGCAAUGGGCGAAAGCCUGACGGAGCAAUACCGCGUGAGGGAGGAAGGCUCUUGGGUUGUAAACCUCUUUUCUCAGGGAAUAAAAAAAGUGACGGUACCUGAGGAAUAAGCAUCGGCUAACUCCGUGCCAGCAGCCGCGGUAAUACGGAGGAUGCAAGCGUUAUCCGGAAUGAUUGGGCGUAAAGCGUCCGCAGGUGGCUAUGUAGGUCUACUGUUAAAGAGUUAGGCUCAACCUCAAUAAAGGCAGGUAGGAAACUACAAGGCGAGAGUAGCGUUCGGGGCAGAGGGAAUUCCUGGUGUAGCGGUGAAAUGCGUAGGAGAUCAGGAAGAACACCGGUGGCGAAAGCGCUCUGCUAGGCCGUAACUGACACUGAGGGACGAAAGCUAGGGGAGCGAAUGGGAUUAGAUACCCCAGUAGUCCUAGCCGUAAACGAUGGAUACUAGGCGUGGCUUGUAUCGACCCUAUCCGUGCCGUAGCUAACGCGUUAAGUAUCCCGCCUGGGGAGUACGCACGCAAGUGUGAAACUCAAAGGAAUUGACGGGGGCCCGCACAAGCGGUGGAGUAUGUGGUUUAAUUCGAUGCAACGCGAAGAACCUUACCAGGACUCGACAUGUCGCGAAUCUUCCUGAAAGGGGAAGAGUGCCUUCGGGAACGCGAACACAGGUGGUGCAUGGCUGUCGUCAGCUCGUGUCGUGAGAUGUUGGGUUAAGUCCCGCAACGAGCGCAACCCUCGUACUUUAGUUGCCAGCACUUAGGGUGGGCACUCUAAGGAGACUGCCGGUGACAAACCGGAGGAAGGUGGGGAUGACGUCAAGUCAGCAUGCCCCUUACGUCUUGGGCUACACACGUACUACAAUGCUACGGACAAAGGGCAGCGAGACUAGCGAUAGUCAAGCAAAUCUCAGAAACCGUAGCUCAGUUCAGAUCGCAGGCUGCAACUCGCCUGCGUGAAGGCGGAAUCGCUAGUAAUUGCAGGUCAGCAUACUGCAGUGAAUUCGUUCCCGGGCCUUGUACACACCGCCCGUCACACCAUGGAAGCUGGCAACGCCCGAAGUCAUUACUCCAACUUUUCGGAGGGGAGGAUGCCUAAGGCAGUGCUGGUGACUGGGGUG
rnacentral:rRNA from 1 species